ACUAAAUACUGGCAAACUUGCAGAAAUGCAAGGACGCAAAGCCAUUGGGUCUUCCGUAGUAGGUAUAUAGUAACAACUGCUAUCAGAUCGCCAGGUUGCAAAU
rnacentral:ncRNA from 1 species